rnacentral:rRNA from 1 species
CCGGUGACACCACGUGACAUAUAUUUAUUUCUUGCCUAUUUUGUCCCAUCCCUGUGCUAGCUAGCUUCCACCUCCCAUUAUUUUUUUGCUUUUCUCAAGAGAUUUUUCAAAUCACUUCUGAUCCUGUGAGAUUGAGAACACUGUACCUACACCACGAGUGUGAACAAAAAGGUCGAGACUUUUUCUCUCUGGGUGCAGCGGUGGAUCUUGGAUCCUUCAGGUAGCAGUAAUACGCAUACGAGUAGGAGUAGGUGGGCGGUGGUACUUGGUCAUGUGCCACCGUCUCGUGCCCCUUUGCAUCUUCCAAGCUCGCUCUGGGCUGGAGACCCUCACGCGUUUGCUUCAAGCAUUGACCCAGGCAUAAAUCUUCCAGCUACCUGUUCCUGGCCCCUUCUUGAUUUCUUUCUAUCCCCUGCCUGUCCGUGUAGUGCUCAGAUUUGGUCAGCAUGAAGGCAUGAACAAGCUGGCGCCUCUGGUGCAGGAUCCUGACGACUUGCGUCUCUGAAGGCGAGGAGGAAGCUUCUUUUCUCAGGUGAGAUUGUGCUCUUGACGCUUCCCGCUCAUCUGAAUCUGUACCAGUUCUUCUCGGUCGUAUGUUUCAGUUUCUUCAAGCCAUGUUUAGUUGCUGUUCUUGAUAGAUGGUUGCUCCCAAGAUCUUGCAGCGUUUCUCCAGGGAUGAUGCUAUCUUUUGAUCUGGUCUUGGUUAUAUGACCACCCCUGUUUUCUCAUGGAUGGAACAGUAAAAGCUGCCUGCUGAAUCAUUGCUUUUCUGUUUGGUAAAAAAGGAUCAUCCUUGAUACUACAGUAAGAAGAUAUGCUGCUCAUGUCUUGUUGUUGUACAUAUAACUCAAUCUGAUCCAUUGACCUGAUGAUCUGUCCAGAUAUGCAAUUUCUUGUUCAUUUCUUCUAGUUCAUCACAGAUGCGAUUUAAGCAUUUAUUUCCCGAGGACACAGAUUUCAUUACACGAAUGUACUACCGCUGGUACUACUAGAUGAUAAUGGGAUGCUGUUAGUAAAAAUGGGAAAUAACUUAUUAUCCAACUAACAAGGACUAGAAUGAGUGGCUGCUGGCAUUGUUGCAAUUUACAUGCUUAUCCGCACCUAUUUUAGAUUGGUUGAUUUAUGUUGCGGUAUAGUGUAUUCAUUUCGCAGCGCUAUAGUUCACCCUGAUGCUUAUGAUUUGGAAAGUUAAACAUAUCAUUACUUAUUUUUCUUCUCUUUGACUGAAGAAAGAUGUAGUUUUCGUUCCUAACCAUUCAUAUUUCCCCUUUCCAUUUAGUGCUUGAAUCUGCUAAACUUCUAGCUCUCCUUGAAGAUUUGUGAAACAUGAAGCCGCCUUUGGAAAGGAACCCAUCCAGGAAGCGCCAUUCAUGGUGGUGGGAUAGUCACAUUAGCCCCAAGAACUCAAAAUGGCUUGCAGAAAACCUCGAAGAAAUGGAUAAGCAAGUGAAGGAAAUGGUGCAGCUUAUUGAGGAAGAUGGCGACUCCUUUGCAAAGAAAGCUCAAAUGUAUUAUCAGAGGCGCCCAGUGCUCAUCACCCAUGUCGAGAACUUCUACCGGAUGUACCGCGCUUUAGCUGAGCGCUACGACAAUGUUACCGGUGAACUGCGCAAGAACAUCCCUUCAAGGAUGCAGUCUCAAGGAUCUUUAUCCGGUUCUGAGUUCGGUUCAGAGCUGCAAAGGUCGCCCACACCAUCUCCUGAGCCACAGAAGUCCUGGACAAGGGAGCAGAGCCCUAGAGCCGCCGGUUUCGACUUCUUUCUGAGCAAUAAGAGCAAUGACUCACCGUCCUCAAGGAAGGAGCCCGAGUCGGCUUCACAGUCAGAAUCCGACAUGAAGUCUGAGGAUGGCGAGGAUGAUGGCAUUGCCUACACAUUGCACCAGAGGGUUCUCGAGCUCGAGGACGAUCUCAAUGCCGCGAACCGGAAGCUGCUUGAUGCAAACGAAAAGCUCGAGGUUUUCGAGGAAAAGAGCCUGAGGUGCCAUUGCGAUUAUAUGGAAAAUGGAAAUGGCGCCGAUUAUGCUGCCAAAAUUACAGACAUUGAUGGAGAGUUCGCGUCAACUAAGGAGAAGCUACAAUCUUCAGAAGUGGAGAUCGACAGUCUCCAAAGGAGGCUCGAAGAUGCCGCAAUUUUGUCCGAAGAGCACUCUAGGUUGCUGGAACAGAACAAGGGACUGGAAGCUGAAAUUGUCAGUCUGAAGGAAGAAAUGGCUUCAGCCAGACGGCGUUUCGACGAUAAAAUUUCCAAGAGCGAUGCCGAGAUCAGCAAGUACAAGCAAGAGCUUACCGCCACGUCUGAGAAGCUGCUGCAGGAGAAGUCCACCAACAGUGCAGAGGUAGGUAAGCUGCAAGAGACAAUCCAGAUCGCCAGUCGUGAGCUGGAGAAAGUUUCCAAAGAGAAGUCCCUGGUGGAGGACCAGGUGAAGGAGCUGGACGAGGUGAACUUUGAAGCUGAAAGGCAGAUGCAGGAGCUAGUCCAUGCCGCCGAAAUGCUCUCAGAGGACAAGUUCAGUCAUGAAGCUGAGAUCCUGACGAUGCAGCAGAGCAUCGAGGACCUGAAGCCGAGAUUUGAAAGCAUCGCAAGAGAGAAAUCACUGCUGAAACUCUGGUUCGCGGAUCUGGAGCGCGUCGUGGAGCGAGGAAGUAGCGUCGUCAUUCCCCCAGAAUAACCUGGUUUUGUCGGGAAAAUUCAGUAGCUAGAAUUUAGAAAACUAGCAGUGCUAUCUCUUUGUUUUUUUGGCCUGAGGUACAACAUCAUGCAAAACUGAGAAAGCCUACCAUGGACAUCAGUGUUGCCUUUUCUUGGAUUAUUCGUUGCACUGUGAGGUGAUGGGUGGUGGUGGUGGUGUAUGAAACAUUUGCACUGAAUGCAUUUCCUUUGGCAAUAAAAUGUCUCUGAUGAGUGCAUUUGGAGG